GAUGAACGCUAGCGGCAGGCCUAAUACAUGCAAGUCGAACGAUAGAAGAGGGCUUGCUCUCUUCGAAAGUGGCGCACGGGUGCGUAACGCGUAUGCAACCUACCUUAAUCAGGGGGAUAGCCCGAAGAAAUUCGGAUUAACACCGCAUAAAAUCACAGUACAGCAUUGUACAAUGAUCAAAUAUUUAUAGGAUUAAGAUGGGCAUGCGUGACAUUAGCUAGUUGGCGGGGUAACGGCCAACCAAGGCGACGAUGUCUAGGGGAUCUGAGAGGAUGACCCACCACACUGGUACUCAGCCACCGACCAUACUCCCACCAGAGGCAGCAGUAAGGAAUAUUGGUCAAUGCAGGCACCUCUGAACCAGCCAUGCCGCGUGCAGGAAGACGGCCCUAUGGGUUGUAAACUGCUUUUAUUCGGGAAUAAACCUCAUUAUGUAUAGUGAGCUGAAUGUACCGAAGGAAUAAGGAUCGGCUAACUCCGUGCCAGCCGCCGCCGUAA
rnacentral:rRNA from 1 species